rnacentral:rRNA from 1 species
GGCGGCGUGCUUAACACAUGCAAGUCGAACGGUGAAGCCAAGCUUGCUUGGUGGAUCAGUGGCGAACGGGUGAGUAACACGUGAGCAACCUGCCCUGGACUCUGGGAUAAGCGCUGGAAACGGUGUCUAAUACUGGAUAUGAGCCUCUAUCGCAUGGUGGGGGUUGGAAAGAUUUUUCGGUCUGGGAUGGGCUCGCGGCCUAUCAGCUUGUUGGUGAGGUAAUGGCUCACCAAGGCGUCGACGGGUAGCCGGCCUGAGAGGGUGACCGGCCACACUGGGACUGAGACACGGCCCAGACUCCUACGGGAGGCAGCAGUGGGGAAUAUUGCACAAUGGGCGGAAGCCUGAUGCAGCAACGCCGCGUGAGGGAUGACGGCCUUCGGGUUGUAAACCUCUUUUAGCAGGGAAGAAGCGAAAGUGACGGUACCUGCAGAAAAAGCGCCGGCUAACUACGUGCCAGCAGCCGCGGUAAUACGUAGGGCGCAAGCGUUAUCCGGAAUUAUUGGGCGUAAAGAGCUCGUAGGCGGUUUGUCGCGUCUGCUGUGAAAUCCCGAGGCUCAACCUCGGGUCUGCAGUGGGUACGGGCAGACUAGAGUGCGGUAGGGGAGAUUGGAAUUCCUGGUGUAGCGGUGGAAUGCGCAGAUAUCAGGAGGAACACCGAUGGCGAAGGCAGAUCUCUGGGCCGUAACUGACGCUGAGGAGCGAAAGGGUGGGGAGCAAACAGGCUUAGAUACCCUGGUAGUCCACCCCGUAAACGUUGGGAACUAGUUGUGGGGACCAUUCCACGGUUUCCGUGACGCAGCUAACGCAUUAAG